GACUACAACUCCCAGCGUACCCCGCGCCGCCCAGCUUCCCAUUUCCCAGAAGGCCGCGGGCGGCGCGUUCCCGACAUGCCCCGCGGCGGCCGACAACCGCUGGAUUUGAAUCGCGUCACCGCUCGGCGGCGGCGGGAUGAGUACCCCGUCGUUGCCCCCGGCCUGGCAGCUCUACCUCAAGGACCAUCGUGUCUCCACAUUUAAGAACUGGCCCUUCUUGGAGGGCUGCGCCUGCACCCCGGAGCGAAUGGCCGCGGCCGGCUUCAUCCACUGUCCAACUGAGAACGAGCCCGACUUGGCUCAGUGUUUCUUCUGCUUCAAGGAGUUGGAAGGCUGGGAGCCAGAUGACGACCCUAUAGAAGAACAUAAAAAGCAUUCAUCUGGUUGUGCUUUCCUUUCUGUCAAGAAGCAGUUUGAAGAACUAACCCUCAGCGAAUUUUUAAAACUGGAUAAAGAAAGAGCCAAGAACAAAAUUAGCUCCUGGAUGGCCCCUCUAGGGUACAUCGCUCCUGGAGGUGGGAUGGCGUGCGGACCUCGGCUGUACCGUGGGGUGGAAAUAAGUUGGGAGCUGAACUUUUAAACCAUUUAUUAAGUUAGUUAUGGGAUUGCAGCACACAGCUGUAAGGCAAACGUUUAUCCAGGCAAAGGAAACCAACAAUAAACAGAAAGAAUUUGAAGAAACUGCAAAGAAAGUCCGCUGUGCCAUUGAGCAGCUAGCUGCCUCGGAGUGACGCCAUCCCCACCGUCACUGCCCCACAGGGACACAGACACAUCCUUUCCAAGGCACAGCCCUCAGCAUUACCAGCUUUCCUCUGGGGCCCCUUAACUGUGCCUUAGGAAAGGAGAACAUCAACACUUUGAAAUUAGAAUAUUUACCUGUAUUUUUGGGUUUUUUCUUGAAGGCGGUGCCAGGGGCUAUUUCUGUUGUACAGCUGGUGCUAAGUACAGUGACGGAUUCUCUUUUUUUCUCUUUGGUAGUUUUUGCUUUAUUGAUUCCUGGACUUAGGGUGAGGGGAGAAGUUUGUCCACGUGGGUAGAGCCCUUUUACAGUGACCUGUCUGGGCUUCACACUGACGACUGGCUGUCCAGCUGAGAUGCGAUGUGUGAAUGUGAUCAUUGGUCCAUUGUGACUGGACAAACAGGAUUAAGAAUGCCAUUUUAAAUUUCA